GAUGAACGCUGACAGAAUGCUUAACACAUGCAAGUCAACUGUGGCGGACGGGUGAGUAACGCGUAAAGAACUUGCCUCACAGCUAGGGACAACAUUUGGAAACGAAUGCUACUACCUGAUACUGUGAGAGAGCUUUGCGUCCCAUUAGCUAGUUGGAGAGGUAACGUCUAAACAAGGCGAUGAUGGGUAGCCGGCCUGAGAGGGUGAUCGUCCACAAGGGGACUGAGACACGGCCCUGACUCCUACGGGAGGCAGCAGUGGGGAAUAUUGGACAAUUGACCAAAGUCUGAUCCAGCAAUUCUGUGUGCACGAUGAAGUUUUCGGAAUGUAAAGUGCUUUCAGUUGGGAAGCGGUACCAACAGAAGAAGUGACGGCUAAAUACGUGCCAGCAGCCGCGGUAAUUC
rnacentral:rRNA from 1 species